UACGUAGGCAGCGAGCGUUGUUCGGAGUUACUGGGCGUAAAGGGUGUGUAGGCGGUUCUCUAAGUCUGGUGUGAAAUCUCCCGGCUCAACUGGGAGGGUGCGCCGGAAACUGGAGGGCUAGAGUGCGGGAUGGGAGAGUGGAAUUCCUGGUGUAGCGGUGAAAUGCGUAGAUAUCAGGAGGAACACCUGUGGUGUAGACGGCUCUCUGGACCGUAACUGACGCUGAGACACGAAAGCGUGGGUAGCAAACAGG
rnacentral:rRNA from 1 species